AUUGAACGCUGGCGGCAGGCCUAACACAUGCAAGUCGAGCGGAUGAAGGGAGCUUGCUCCUGGAUUCAGCGGCGGACGGGUGAGUAAUGCCUAGGAAUCUACCUGGUAGUGGGGGAUAACGUCCGGAAACGGGCGCUAAUACCGCAUACGUCCUGAGGGAGAAAGUGGGGGAUCUUCGGACCUCACGCUAUCAGAUGAGCCUAGGUCGGAUUAGCUAGUUGGUGGGGUAAAGGCCUACCAAGGCGACGAUCCGUAACUGGUCUGAGGGGAUGAUCAGUCACACUGGAACUGAGACACGGUCCAGACUCCUACGGGAGGCAGCAGUGGGGAAUAUUGGACAAUGGGCGAAAGCCUGAUCCAGCCAUGCCGCGUGUGUGAAGAAGGUCUUCGGAUUGUAAAGCACUUUAAGUUGGGAGGAAGGGCAGUAAGUUAAUACCUUGCUGUUUUGACGUUACCAACAGAAUAAGCACCGGCUAACUUCGUG
rnacentral:rRNA from 1 species